rnacentral:rRNA from 1 species
GAUGAACGCUGGCGGCGUGCCUAAUACAUGCAAGUCGAGCGAACGGACGAGAAGCUUGCUUCUCUGAUGUUAGCGGCGGACGGGUGAGUAACACGUGGAUAACCUACCUAUAAGACUGGGAUAACUUCGGGAAACCGUAGCUAAUACCGGAUAAUAUUUUGAACCGCAUGGUUCAAAAGUGAAAGACGGUCUUGCUGUCACUUAUAGAUGGAUCCGCGCUGCAUUAGCUAGUUGGUAAGGUAACGGCUUACCAAGGCAACGAUGCAUAGCCGACCUGAGAGGGUGAUCGGCCACACUGGAACUGAGACACGGUCCCGACUCCUACGGGAGGCAGCAGUAGGGAAUCUUCCGCAAUGGGCGAAAGCCUGACGGAGCAACGCCGCGUGAGUGAUGAAGGUCUGCGGAUCGUAAAACUCUGUUAUUAGGGAAGAACAUAUGUGUAAGUAACUGUGCACAUCUGGACGGUACCUAAGCAGAAAGCCACGGCUAACUACGU